rnacentral:rRNA from 1 species
GCUGGCGGCACGCCUAACACAUGCAAGUCGAGCGCUCACUUCGGUGGGAGCGGCGGACGGGUUAGUAACGCGUGGGAACCUACCCUUUACUACGGAAUAGCCUUUGGAAACGAAGAGUAAUACCGUAUACGCCCUACGGGGGAAAGAUUUAUCGGUAAAGGAUUGGCCCGCGUUAGAUUAGAUAGUUGGUGGGGUAACGGCCUACCAAGUCUACGAUCUAUAGCUGGUUUGAGAGGAUGAUCAGCACACUGGGACUGAGACACGGCCCAGACUCCUAC